rnacentral:rRNA from 1 species
UACUAGAGUAGCACUCGCAUAUCAAUAAGCGGAGGAAAAGAAACUAACAAGGAUUCCCCUAGUAACGGCGAGUGAAGCGGGAAGAGCUCAAAUUUGAAAUCUUAAAGGGUUUCCCUUUACGAAUUGUAGUUUAAAGAAGUGUUUUCUGUUGAGGUUUUGGUAAAAGUUCUUUGGAAUAGGACAUCAUAGAGGGUGAGAAUCCCGUAUUUGACCUUUACUUUCAACUUUGUGAUACACUUUCAAAGAGUCGGAUUGUUUGGGAAUGCAGUCCAAGAUGGGUGGUAAAUUUCAUCUAAAGCUAAAUAUAGGCGAGAGACCGAUAGCGAACAAGUACCGUGAGGGAAAGAUGAAAAGAACUUUGAAAAGAGAGUUAAACAGUACGUGAAAUUGUCAAAAGGGAAGCGUUUGACACCAGUGUUGUUUUUCUGAAAAUCAAUUAAAGAACUGUUUAUGCUAAGUUGUUUAGACUUUAUCAGCUAUCUGUUUAGUUUUGAGCUUUUCUUUAAUGCACUUUUCAGUUAACAAGUCAACAUCAAUUUCUUUUGCUGUAAAAAAGCUUGAGGAAGGUGGCUUGAGAUUCGUCUUAAGUGUUUAUAGCCUCUUGCCUAUGCAGUCGGAGAGAUUGAGGUCUGCAGCGUAGAUCCUUCGGGGCUAAAUGCAUUUGUGCUAAGUUAUAGCAUUUUAUAGACAACUUGUUGACUAUGAUUUGUCUUGUAGCUUACUCGCUUAUGUUAUUUUACCUACGCUUAGGAUGUUGAGCGCAUGUCUCUCUCU